CGAGUAUGCUAGGUCCUCGGCGGUUUUUCUAUGGCUCUGCUGCCUGUUCUUUCGGACUUGCUCCUGUGAUAUACUGUAAGCUGGAGACCUACGGAAGACCUGUAGGUGCAUAGGCUGUGAUGGAUGCCGACUGAUUGCUUCUCCGUCUGACGGUUACUCCUCCUUGCAAGGAAAAAGUCUGUCUGGGGGUCAUCUGUGAAUCAGACUGGAGCCGUUGGUGUCUGGGUGCAGAAACUUACACGUAACAGAGACAUUGAUAGAGAAAGCAUCUCCAAUUACUCCUACAGACGCCACUGCACAAAAAAGGGCAUUUUGAUUUUUGCAUUUGAAAUGUUAUUACUAUUAUAUAGAUGAUGUAGCGACAAGUAUAAAAUGUGUCACAAUACUGAAUAAA